ensembl:lncRNA
GGUGAAUGCUCCUUAACUGCACAGUUAGAUGGAAUUUGAAAUAUGGAAAUGUCCUUUGCACUUGCAUCAAGAUCAGGAAACAAACGCUGUUGAGAUCGGUGGUUUGAGCUCAGAAAAUAUAUCUGUUGCAAAUUUGGGCCGGAAUAGCAAUCUCACUUCUUGUGUUUACCUUUGACAACACGUAAAGUUUAUAAAGCAGCUUGACAUUGUGAUUCAAACGUGAGUUGUCAGAAUCACUUUACCACAGUAUGUUUCACAUGUAAGUGUUGUUUUGACUUGUAAUUUUUGGUUGAUUUCAUUAGAAACAUUUUCAAGCAGCAAAAGCUCAUUUCCGAAGGAUGGAGUUUGAACCUUAUCCUCUUGGUGGAGUGGCUGGGAGCCACCAGAGAAGGAAGUCCCUUUGGUCAGUAUGCCUUUGUGUAUGUGUGUGUAAAUAUUUUCAAUUUAUUCCUGUCUCCAAAGUAACUGAGGUUUGCCACAAUGUUAUUUAGGUGGUAUGAUUUGAAUUUUAUAUUGUGUGAAAAUGCAAGUAUUUUAUGUAGCCUUAUAUUUUCAGAGUGCUAGUUUGGCCUUCACUCAGCUAUGCUUAAGUUAUACAAGAACAUAUGUGUCCAAAAUGUUAAAUUUUUAUGUUUUUUAAAGUUUAGAAUUGAAAUUUUUUUUUUAAAGAUUUUAUUUUUUCCUUUUUCUCCCCAAAGCCCCCCAGUACAUAGUUGUAUAUUCUUUGUUGUGUGUCCUUCUAGUUGUGGCAUGUGGGACGCUGCCUCAGCGUGGCUUAAUGAGCAGUGCCAUGUCCGCGCCAACGAAACACUGGGCCGCCUGCAGCGGAGCGCGCGAACUUAACCACUCAGCCACGGAGCCAGCCCCUGAAGUUUAGAAUUGAAUAGGAAUAUGUUGUAGGAAACUUUUGUUGAACGGGGUUAAGACGUAAAAAUGGUAAAAUGCUCUCACUUUUUUAGGGAAAUCGAAUAAGAAUGGGAUGGGUUAGGUUUAAUGUCACCCCAGUUUCUCAUGGGAUGUGUCAGAUUGUGAUAGAGUGAACUCUUGAUCGUGCAGUUAUACUGAGUUCAUGUACAUCUUACAGUCUGACAUUCCAUGUCUCUUUUUCCCAUGCCCAGUUCUUUCAAAAUGGAAAUCAGCCACCCAGUUCAGCACCCACAGUCCCUUGGGAUCCCCCUAAGAAAGCAGUGGAUGGGUCUCCAGAAACUGGUUUUGUCAAGGAUUCCUGUAUUCAGCCACUAUGAGAGAUUGCCUCCUGGUGCCUCUGGGAUCCAUAGAAACUAGGGAUGUUGAUGACUAGCAGUUGAAGGGACUGCUGUCAUGAGGAGCUCAAUGGAGCCACGAUUCUGCUUGGAGAAGAACCUGGUACCAAAUGGAAGCAAAAUACCAGAUCCGGUUCUAUCAAAAUGGAAGCUAGCCACCCAGUCCAGCACUACAAGACCUUUGGGCCUGAGAAGGCAGUGGAAUGGGUCUCUAGAAACUGACUUUGACAAGGGCUCCUAUAUUCAAACAUGACUGGAGGCUGACCCCUGGUGGAUGGUAGACCUGGGAUCUCUGUACGCUGGAAAUGGUGGUGAUUAUCAACCUAAGGGAGUGCUGUCAGGAGGAGCUUAACAGAACCAUGACAAAUGGGAGACUCACCUAGUAAUCGUGAGAAGUUAAAUUUUAAGGAUAAAAGGAAAAUUACUUUUGAAAGAUGAUCAAAUCCAUGUGUUUUUUGUUGUUGAUCUAAGGAAAAUUUUUUAAUUAAACCCAUUUUUUUAAAAGUCAGCAAUA